UUCUUACUGAUGGCCUUGCAGACUGCUAUCCACUUGCUUUUAAUGAACCUUCUCUCUUUCUGAAGCUCCUUCAGAAAUGAUGCCUUAGUGUGCUGUGAGAUUAAAUGUAAGGAGUCUUUGCCUGUCCAGAGACUACUUCCUCCAUGGGGCAGAUUUGUGGCUGGGCUUUGCGGGAAUUGGAGAUGGAUAAGGAGAUGGUUGAGACUCUUGGAUUUCUGUGCUGCAGUUGCAGGCUUUGGUGGGGAAAACAUGGAAGCUCCCUGGACACGUCUACUGCCAUGAGAUGUCUCAGCCAAGGAUUUUGAGCCAAGAUAUGAGGGAAAUGGUUUAAACAGAUGUGUGCCCAUGCCUGUGACACUGAACUUCGAGAUGCUGAUAUUUAAAAAGCUUGCCAUCUCUCCUGCCUCCCAGCAGCAAGGGAAAACUGAAGCCACUGAGCAUGCAAUCCAGCCCAUCUUCUAGCUCCCCAAGUGCAGCAAAAACAUUUAUGGACUGAUCUUCUACAGCUCCUCUCAAGCACUGGAAUUUCCAGGUGUAUAUGUUUUCAGGGCAGAAGCAACCCCAGGAAAGCUGCUUUUCAAAAGGCAUUUGUGCUAUACAUAUUAUUGAAGUAUGUCACUUCCCCUCCAUGUGACCAGCUACAUGUAUUGAGAGAAAGUAAAACCAGACUUCAAAGCAUCUGACAGGAGGCAGGCAGGCGUUGUUUCUUCAUCCGUCCAAGGAAGAAGCUGAAGCACAAAGUGGCAAGGUCUCCCAGAGAAGAGUAAGAGGUCCAUUUGUUCCAGUGAGAUUGUAGUUAAGAGUUCUCAGGAUUUAGCUCACCUUUUUAAUUGCUGCUGUCUCAAUUAAAUUGCAUCUGUGAUAACAACAGGCCUCCUGGAGACCCAACAGGAAC